rnacentral:rRNA from 1 species
UACGUAGGGUGCAAGCGUUAAUCGGAAUUACUGGGCGUAAAGCGUGCGCAGGCGGCUUUGCAAGACAGAUGUGAAAUCCCCGGGCUUAACCUGGGAACUGCAUUUGUGACUGCAUGGCUGGAGUGCGGCAGAGGGGGAUGGAAUUCCGCGUGUAGCAGUGAAAUGCGUAGAUAUGCGGAGGAACACCGAUGGCGAAGGCAGCCCCCUGGGCCAACACUGACGCUCAGGCACGAAAGCGUGGGGAGCAAACAGG